GCCUUCUCCAUGACAGGAUGGCUUUGUCCACUUGUAGGAUGCUCUUUGUUCCAUGUUCUGCCUUUUGCUUCUAACUAAAAUCUCAAGUUGCCUGUUUCAGGAAUUGCAGGCAUCAUCAUGGUAACUACUUAAUUGGUCCAUAGGCUUUUCAUAAAGAUCCACCUGAAAGAUUUUCUUGUAACAUUAUUUUUCACUGCUGUAGUUUGUCAUGUGCUGAGUUGCUCUGUGCCAGUGCUGGCUGUGCACCUCUCUGGUCUUCCCUUUAGGGCUUGCAUCUUAUAGGUCCAGUAUAGUUGCACAACUGGGAUUCGGGGAUGGGUCCGGUUGCUUUACAGGGUGCAAACAGCAAGAUAGUCUCAGAGGAGGCCUGGCCCUAAUGAGUGACAACUAAGGGAGGGCAAGACACUAGGGUUGUUUCUAAUCACACCAUAAACCUGUCUUGAGUUCUCAGUGAUUGGGUGCCAAUUCCAUAGGACAUAUAUCAUUUCUAUCUUUUUUUUCUUUUCUACACAUGUUCUGAUUUUUAUUUCAUCCAUGACUUCCAGCCCUUAGCUGCUCCCAAGUUCUGGCCUCCAUGUGUCACUUGUUCCUUUCCAGUGCAACUUCUAGAGUGUUCUCUAACACUGACCCACAUGUAAUAUGUUAUCAGAUGUGCACAUGUUUUUAAAUAGUCCUUCCACACCUAGUAUUCAGUUCCCAUGGGUUUCUACUGGGCCUGGACACCAAUAAUCUUCUGUGCAGUGUACCAAAAUCCUCUCUUCUCAUCAAGGGAGGAGGUCCUGAUAAAAGCUUUUGGCAGAAUAGUGAGUCAGAGACCCUACAUAUUCUCUCUGAGUUGUGCCCCAUCUUUGCAUCUUUCAUCUCAUAAGGCCUCCCUUGUUCUGUGACUUGUAGAGGCUUUUUUCCCCAAAUUUUCACCAGCUCUCAUAUCCUAAAAACAUUUUCUUAGACUCAUUCUUUGACACACAUUUUUGAUGUAACUUCUCACACCAUAGUAAACCUACAUUUUCUCAGCAUUUCUCUUCUUUCAGGUUGCUGGUGUGGAGCAGAAGAUGAGGGGGCACCUUCUGCAGACAGCAUUUCUGUGGAAGAACUGUCACAGGGCAGGACUCCAAAGGCAGAUACAUCCACUGAUAAGAGUCACCCCUGUGAGAUUUGUACCCCAGUCCUGAGAGACAGUUUACAAAUGAUUGAGCUCCAAGCCUCACCCUGUGGACAGAAAUUGUACUUGGGUGGGGCAUCAAGAGAUUUCUGGAUGAGUUCAAACCUUCACCAGCUCCAGAAGCUUGAUAAUGGAGAGAAGCUAUUUAAAGUGGAUGGGGACCAGGCCUCAUUUAUGAUGAACUGCAGGUUCCAUGUGUCAGGAAAACCCUUCACGUUUGGGGAAGUUGGGAGGGACUUUUCAGCCACCUCAGGACUUCUCCAGCAUCAGGUGACUCCCAGCAUUGAGAGACCACACAGCAGGAUUAGACACUUGAGAGUUCCCACUGGACGAAAGCCUCUCAAAUACACUGAACCCAGGAAAUGUUUUAGAGAGAAAUCUGUAUUCAUUCAACACCAAAGAGCUGACUCUGGAGAAAGGCCUUACAAGUGCAGUGAAUGUGGGAAAUCCUUUAGUCAAAGUUCUGGCUUUCUUCGACACAGGAAAGCACACAAUAGAACAAGGACUCAUGAAUGUAGUGAAUGUGGGAAAUCAUUUAGUCGCAAAACUCACCUAACUCAACACCAAAGAGUUCACACUGGAGAAAGGCCUUAUGACUGCAGCGAAUGUGGCAAAUCCUUCCGCCAGAUAUCUGUCCUCAUUCAACAUCAACGAGUUCACACUGGAGAAAGGCCUUAUGAGUGCAGUGAAUGUGGGAAAUCUUUUAGCCACAGCACUAACCUCUAUCGUCACAGGAGUGCCCACACUAGCACAAGGCCUUAUGAGUGCAGUGAAUGUGGAAAAUCCUUUAGCCAUAGCACUAACCUCUUUCGACACUGGAGAGUUCACACUGGAGCAAGGCCUUAUGAGUGUAGUGAAUGUGGGAAAGCAUUUAGUUGCAAUAUCUACCUCAUUCACCACCAAAGAUUUCACACUGGAGAAAGGCCUUAUGUGUGCAGUGAAUGUGGGAAAUCAUUUGGCCAGAAAUCUGUCCUCAUUCAACACCAAAGAGUUCACACUGGAGAAAGGCCUUAUGAGUGCAGUGAAUGUGGGAAAGUUUUUAGCCAAAGCUCUGGCCUCUUUCGACACAGAAGAGCUCACACUAAAACAAAGCCUUAUGAGUGCAGUGAAUGUGAAAAAUCAUUUAGUUGCAAAACUGACCUCAUUCGACACCGGACAGUUCACACUGGAGAAAGGCCUUAUGAGUGCAGUGUAUGUGGGAAAUCUUUUAUCCGAAAAACCCACCUCAUUCGACACCAGACUGUUCACACUAAUGAAAGGCCUUAUGAGUGCGAUGAAUGUGGGAAAUCCUAUAGCCAAAGCUCUGCCCUCCUUCAGCAUAGGAGAGUUCACACUGGAGAAAGGCCUUAUGAGUGCAGCGAAUGUGGGAAAUCUUUUACCCGCAAAAAUCACCUCAUUCAACACAAGACAGUUCAUACUGGAGAAAGGCCUUAUGAAUGCAGUGAAUGUGGGAAAUCUUUUAGUCAAAGUUCUGGCCUCUUAAGACACAGAAGAGUUCAUGUGCAGUGAAUGUGGGAAAUUAUUUUGUCACCUUUUUUUUUUUUUUUUGAGAUGGAAUUUUGCUCUUGUCACCCAGGCUGGAGUGCAAUGAUGCAAUCUCAGCUCACUGCAACCUCUGCCUCCUGGGAUCAAGUGAUUCUCCUGCCACAGCCUCCUGAGUACCUGAGAUUACAGGCACCCACCACCAUGCCCAGCUAAUUUUUGUAUUUUUAAUAGAAACAAGGUUUCACCACGUUGGUCGGGCUGGUGUUGAACUCCUGACCUCAGGUAAUCCACCUGCUUCAGCCUACCAAAGUGCUGGGAUUACAGGCGUGAGCCACCAUGUCCGGCUUGUUUUGUCACAUUUAACACAAGAUUUCCGAAAGAAGAAAGGCCUUAUAUAUGCUGUGAAUGUGUUUUUGUUUGUUUGUUUGUUUUAACUUGGUAUGACGGCACUGGAGGCUAGCCUUUGAGAAGAGCCUUCUCUGAUGUGACUCAUGUAUCCAAACAUCCAUGGAUUUCCCAUAAAUUUGAGGUAUGUGGGAAGCAUGUGUAGCUAUGUUGUACUCUCUAAACCUGCCCAGGGACCUUGCCAGAUUCAUGUCACUGCCAGUUUCUGCGGCUGAAGCCUUUUCAUCUCUACCCGCUGGGAGACCCACAGAGUGUGCAUCAGUCACCACCCCAACAUGCUCAGGGAGGCAGACUUCUUCCAUUAGUUGGAGGAAAGCGUGAGUAGUCUAAGCUCUUAGGGGGGUUUCUCAUUUCCUCCUGUGGCUACAUAGUGCAUGUAACUACCCCAGUGUUGGCCCCAGGACCUGAUCUGAGUUCUGUUGGCAGCUUCCAGAGGAUUGCCUUUUUUGAGGACAUUGUUGAUCUCAGGCGAUGCUUGUGAUGAAGCAUUUUUUAGCUUCCACCACGUACCAGGAACUGCCUGUUAACUGGCUUGUGCAAUGAUAAAGGCCUUUUGUUUAAGUACCUUUAAUCUUGUAAGUUGUAUUAACUGUGGAGUAGUUUGGAAACAUAAUAGGACUCUGUCAGCUUAAAAGGGUGUAUAACAUUUGUGGAGAUUCAAAUUUUGUUUGCCUCAGAGGGGACACUAUGCUGACAGAAUAUAGCUUUUGCUCCAUUUUGGGCCUAUUUUGCAUUGUUACCAAGGCCUUCUAGGAGACACUGCAGGGCUUUCUGGCUCUGAUUUUUGCCUGCAUGUGGGCUCAGAGGUCAUUCUGCAGAGGGGGCAGUUGUGACAACUUCCGUUGUUUCUGGAGACAACACUUAAGUUUUUCUUGUUGAGUGAGGAUAUCACAUAAUGCCCUGCAAUGUUUAGAAUCCCUUAAUGAGGUCCUAUGAAGGAGGUGUGUCCCUUGAAACACAGAAUUCAGUGAGCUAGUGUCCCUAGCUGUAAAACCAUGGGGCUGGAGCGAAACAUAAUUGGUAAAGAAACGCUGGGUUGAAUAAUAGGGAAUGGAGGAGACUGCAGCAAAUUAGAUGGACUGUUCCUCAUAUAAAGUUUCAUCCGGCCAGGCGCAGUGGCUCACACCUUUAAUCCUAGCACUUUGGGAGGCCAAGGUGGGUGGAUCACAAGGUCAGGAGUUCAAGAACAGCCUGGCCAAGAUGGUGAAACCCUGGAGGGCUGAGGCAGAGAAUUGCUUGAACUUGGGAGGCAGAGGUUGCAGUGAGCCGAGAUCACACCACUGCACUCCAGCUCAGGCGACAGAGCGAGACUCUGUCUC
rnacentral:sRNA from 1 species